rnacentral:rRNA from 1 species
AUUGAACGCUGGCGGCAGGCCUAACACAUGCAAGUCGAGCGAGUGGCGGACGGGUGAGUAAUGUAUGGGAAACUGCCCGAUGGAGGGGGAUAACUACUGGAAACGGUAGCUAAUACCGCAUACUAUCGGAUUAACCCAUAUGGGAUUAGAUAGUUGGUGAGGUAACGGCUCACCUAGGCGACGAUCCCUAGCUGGUCGGAGAGGAUGACCAGCAACACUGGGACUGAGACACGGCCCAGACUCCUACGGGAGGCAGCAGUGGGGAAUAUUGCACAAUGGGCGCAAGCCUGAUGCAGCCAUGCCGCGUGUAUGAAGAAGGCCUUAGGGUUGUAAAGUACUUUCAGCGGGGAGGCGUUACCCGCAGAAGAAGCACCGGCUAACUCCGUGCCAGCAGCCGCGGUAAUUC